CAGCAGCCGCGGGAAUACGAAGGGUGCAAGCGUUAAUCGGAAUUACUGGGCGUAAAGCGUGCGUAGGCGGUGAGUUAAGUCUGCUGUGAAAUCCCCGGGCUCAACCUGGGAAUGGCAGUGGAUACUGGCUCGCUAGAGUGUGUCAGAGGAUGGUGGAAUUCCCGGUGUAGCGGUGAAAUGCGUAGAGAUCGGGAGGAACAUCAGUGGCGAAGGCGGCCAUCUGGGACAACACUGACGCUGAGGCACGAAAGCGUGGGGAGCAAACAGGAUUAGAUACCCCGGUAGUCCCUGUCUCUUAUAA
rnacentral:rRNA from 1 species